rnacentral:rRNA from 1 species
UACGUAGGGUGCGAGCGUUGUCCGGAAUUACUGGGCGUAAAGAGCUCGUAGGUGGUUUGUCGCGUUGUUCGUGAAAACUCACAGCUCAACUGUGGGCGUGCGGGCGAUACGGGCAGACUGGAGUACUGCAGGGGAGACUGGAAUUCCUGGUGUAGCGGUGGAAUGCGCAGAUAUCAGGAAGAACACCCGUGGCUAAGGCGGCUCUCUAGUACGGUACUGACGCUGAGACGCGAAAGCGUGGGGAGCAAACAGG